ensembl:lncRNA
GGGUGAGUCACUAACUGAUGGACUUCUGAUCGCAAUGAUAAUGAAAGGUCUACCAGAGACGUUUAAACCCCUGAUUGUGCACGUUACACAGAGUGAAGCAAAAAUCACAUUUUCAGAGUUUAAAGUAAAACUCAGAAGUUAUGAAGAAACCGAGAGAAUGCGUGCGGCUGUAACUGAUGACAACGUAAUGAGGACAAAAGUGCAAUCAGACCAGGAUUCUACUUCAUGGCGAGCAGAUGACCGAAGAUCAAAGAAUAAUGAGAUUGUGUGUUUUAAAUGUGGACUAAAGGGACACACUGCAAGAACGUGCCGAUCCAGAGUAUGGUGCAGUUUUUGCCGGAGUAGUACACACAAAGAUGCGACCUGUAGAAGGAAGCUAAGACGGGAUGAAGCGAGAGGGGUCGUGGAGAAGGACUACGCGUUCAAGACGGGCUCCAAACCCCAGAGGGUCCCGGACGGCGGCCAAGAGAUGCUGAAUAACCAGCUACUGGUGGAUACGGGAGCGACGUCACAUAUCUUCACGAAGAUCGAGAGUUUUAAGACUUUUGAUGACACUUUUCGACCCGAGGCUCAUUGUGUAGAGUUGGCUGACGGAAGGCGGAGCAGAGGAGCUGCAAAGCGGCGAGGAGAUGCUGAGAUAAGUAUGUUUGACAGUAAAGGACGCAGCCACAAGGUGGUGAUAUGCUGGUUCCUGACAAGAGAUGAAGAAAUCAAAGUCAGCUUUUCAAGACAGCCCCAAGACUCCUCGCAACCUGUGUUCAAAUGUGAGGCUGUUGUCAGGUGAUGAAUGCAAGGAAGAGGCACUCAACUGACAUGAAACAUGUCAAAGACAACAUGAAGGUGACAUUUCAACAUAGGCAAAAGUGGUUCAAGAACCUGCCACAGCUUCUACUGUCCUGGACCUUUUCCCAAGAUUUCUGUACACCUGGCUUGAUUGACCAAGACUUCACAAUGCUGUUUGUUGGGGAGGAAGUGUCUGCUAAGUUCCUUGCAAAGUGGCCAACCAAGCCAAGGAUCAUCAAAGAUUGCAAAAAUCUGUCUCAGAGUACAGAAUUGGAUGAGCUGCUCAUUUCUGCACAGCGUUACUCUGACGAGGGUGGUAAGUGUAAGUUGGAAAUGGUAGAUUUUGCAUGCCUUUACAGCAUUUGCUUAAUUCCCACAACACACUAUAUCACUGGACCAUACCGGUAAACCUUUACUACAAAUUGGAAUACAGCUGUCCAUUUUCUAAAUCACAUUGGGUUUCUGUUCAUUUCUGUAUGGUAUGAAAACAAGCUUACGAACA